rnacentral:rRNA from 1 species
GAUGAACGCUGGCGGCGUGCCUAAUACAUGCAAGUCGAGCGAACGGACGAGAAGCUUGCUUUUCUGAUGUUAGCGGCGGGCGGGUGAGUAACACGUGGAUAACCUACCUAUGAGACUGGGAUAACUUCGGGAAACCGGAGCUAAUACCGGAUAAUAUUUUGAACCGCAUGGUUCAAAAGUGAAAGACGGUCUUGCUGUCACUUAUAGAUGGAUCCGCGCUGCAUUAGCUAGUUGGUAAGGUAACGGCUUACCAAGGCAACGAUGCAUAGCCGACCUGAGAGGGUGAUCGGCCACACUGGAACUGAGACACGGUCCAGACUCCUACGGGAGGCAGCAGUAGGGAAUCUUCCGCAAUGGGCGAAAGCCUGACGGAGCAACGCCGCGUGAGUGAUGAAGGUCUUCGGAUCGUAAAACCCUGUUAUUAGGGAAGAACAUAUGUGUAAGUAACUGUGCACAUCUUGACGGUACCUAAUCAGAAAGCCACGGCUAACUACGUG